rnacentral:tRNA from 1 species
GCUUUCGUGGUGCAGUGGUCAGCACACUCGGCGUGUAUUCGAGAGGUCCGUGGUUCGAGUCCCGGCUAAGGCA